AGAAUCAACGCUGGCGGCGUGCCUAACACAUGCAAGUCGCACGAGAAAGGGUAGCAAUACCUGAGUACAGUGGCGCACGGGUGAGUAGCACGUGAAUUAUCUACCUCCGAGUGGGGAAUAACUGAGAGAAAUCUUAGCUAAUACCGCAUAACACUUACGAGUCAAAGCAGCAAUGCGCUUGGAGAGGAGUUCGCGGCAGAUUAGUUAGUUGGCGGGGUAAUGGCCCACCAAGACGAUGAUCUGUA
rnacentral:rRNA from 1 species